UCGUUUUGCUAUCUUCUUCAAUCGUGUCCGACGAUUCCCUUCCACAGCCAUGGUUUCCACUCUCUCCAAAUCUCUGUUACUCCGAAUAAUUGACUUUGAUGUUUACACUUUCAUUUAAGAUGUAUCGUCUCACCUCCUUUUUGUUUUCCUCAUAUAUUAUCUCUUUCUCGAUUCUUCAUAUACCCUAUCUACAACCUCUUCGGACGGAAAUCAAACUAUGGCCAUGAGAUCUGCUUAAUCGUACCGGAAAGUAUCAUGUUGCUGUAUAUUUCACUGACAUCUCCUCGGUCCAGCCGAGUCAGAACUAAGCUUUGAGCUUCUCCUUAUCGGCGAACAGUGCAGCAAUGGCCCACAACUCGAAAUCUACAGCGUCAAUAGCACAACGAGUUUACUUCGAUAACAUAUUCCCCUCUUUGCGCGAACCGCUUUGGUUAUCAAAUCCACCAAGUCGGGUUGGUCAUCAGACUACCUUAUACUCAUUGAGGAAAAAGCAUUGGUUCAUAUUUUUUUUCCGUUCUUUGUUGUUUGUAAAUUUAUCUUUUGUUGUUUGUACAACAUCUAGAACAUGCCAACCUUUCCAGGCAUCCAUAUGAUUAUUAACAGAAAAUGUGAGAGCUGGAAUAUAAACUUAGUCGUCACGGAAAGCCUCUAGCAACUGAAACUGGGGUAAAAUUGUGUAUUUUUCUAUCUUUAAUUUCUAUUCUUAGAUAUUAAGAUUUGAUUACUGUUAAAAAAUUACUGUUAUGGUGCAGGGAAAGUUAUUACUUUUCGAUCAAAUAUUCAAGAAGCGUGUUGAUGGAGUGUUCAUGCGACCUUGAUGGAUCUGGUUCACAAGUCUGUGAAUGAGAUGGUGGGAUUGAACCAAUACCAAACUCUGAGUGCGGCGAUGAAAAAUACAGCCAUAUAGUCAGUGAACAAGAAGUGGGAGCGAAGUAAGAACGCAACACUGCAGCUGGUGGACAUGGAGUGCAGUUACCUCACUGUUGAUUCUUCAGGAAGCUUUCCACUGCUCUGAGAAUGCCGAGUGUACUUUGCUCCGUUGUGGUCGGUGUGGUUCAGUCCAGAGAAUAUUGCUGAUGCUUAGACCAUAGACAGGAAGAGGAGAAGCGUUUUGUAAGGGAGCUAUUGAGGCAGAGAGGAAGCGCAAGAGAAGAAGAAGAAACAAAGGUACAAGAGAGAGAAAAGUGUGAAGCUGGAGAGAGAAAAGCUGCUAGAGUGAGAGUGAGACAAGAAAAGGAACAUGCUGUUGGAAACAGAAUUUUGGAAUGGACCGGCUGCUACACAAGUUUUGCAGCUGCGGUUUGGACAUAGCUGCAACAGUUAUCUUUUUUUUUUUUAGAAACAGCUGUGAUCAAGUCAAUUUUUUCAGGCAUCCAGAUGAUUAUUAUCUUCUUGAAGUUGACUGUUUACGAGUCUCUUUAACCUCUGUAGUUACUGUGAAGACAGAUUGAAAACUCACUUCCAAACUCAAAUGAACAGCAAUGCUCUCUAUUCAGAGAUCAUGUGGAGAGAUCCCAGAGCUUUUUACACAUAUUUCUAUCAUGGCCGCUGGAACUGGAAGCACUGCUUUUUUCACUGUGAUUUGUAGCUUUGCUUCAAGGCGUGUACCCUUUUGCGCAAACAAGUUCUUCAACACUGGACUUGGUUUCAGUUUGGUCAUACUGCUUUGGGCUGUGGAUAGACUCGGGAGGUGAUUACUUAGCGCAUACUUCUUCCAUGGGUAAGACAUUCUGAUGUUUGAUUGUGUUCUUGCGAUCAAUGAGCCUUAAUCAGCAGCUCCUGCUGGUUGUGGCUUCUAGGUAAGCAACAAGAAAAAGAGUAAUUUCUGAGGAAGCAAAAGCCACAACCAAGUUCUUUAUAUUCUUAUAGGAAACAUCUUUGCUCCUAUGUAAACUAAAUAUGUUUCUCCAAUGACCUGAAGAAUAUAUAAAUUGGUUUUUGUUUAUGUGAUCAGGAACCAACAA